rnacentral:lncRNA from 1 species
AGUUGGUUGUGAUUGAUAAUGGAGAAGUGCCAGAGGAAAAGGCACAAAGCAUCUGGCAUUUGGUUGAGUGGUUU